CAUGCACACACUUUUUUAUCUCUUCCUUUGUCAAAUUUUCUUUCAACCCCACUCCUUUUCUCUUCAGCUUGCUGUGGUCUCCUUGUUUCUGAGGCUCAACCAUCCUUUAUGGGCAUUCUUACUGUUCCACUGAUUCUGUUAUGUGUAUUUAUUGCUCCAUUUGUGAAAUUGGAGGCACCGGCCGACAUGCCUAUUACUAUUGAAUAACAGGAACUGGGCAUUUUCACAACCGUGGGCUAUCAAUGUUCCAGACAGAAACCUUACAUCACAUCAAUUUCAAACAACAAACAGAUUGUUUUAUUGUUGUUGUGUAUUAUACUGGGGAAGAAAAUUCACCCAUCUCCACAGCAGAAACUCUGAGUGCCAGCAGUCAACAACAUGUCUGAGCAUCAACGAAAGGACAGUUUAACUGGCUCAAGAGCAGAUCUAUAUCUUAAUACAGUAGGUCCUGGUUACCUGUGUCCUGUACCUGUACCACUAACAGUGUCUGAGCCAUGGAUCCCAGCACCUCUGACCCUGCCCAAGCCUCGCUUUGCCUGAUCAAUAGGCUGUCAAAGUGCCUAGCAGACACACUGACCCUGCCAUCUGAGAUUUCACACUCUCAUUGUCCAUCUUCACUGUUUUAAGUGCAUUUAUCAGGUUACAUGCCUGCUCUCCUCACCACUUAAUGCAUGGCUGAGCUGCUGUCCUAAAAAAAACCUAAUGGCCAUCAGCAGACCUUUGUCCCAGUUUGUCAGAUCACUCAGGUGGGUUUCAUCAAACCCUUAUGCAAUCAUAGUGUACAGUGAAGGGUGAGACUCUCAGCAUAAGUACAGUUUGAAUCUCCACUUUCAUCUGAUAUCAAUCUGUUGUAGGUGUCAGAGAAAAGCCUGAAACUAGAAAAGAGAUAAAAUAUUAUAUCAGGCCUUGUAUUUUAUAAGUGACAUUUAUGUUUGUUUACCAAAUUGUGGUUCCUUGAAAAGGAGUUGCAUGAGCAAGCUUCAUGAUUUCAGCUGAUAACCCACAAAAUCCCCAGAGAACAGGUCCUAAAGGAUACAGAGAGGAGUGCCACCACACAGGAUGCCCGUGACAUUGCAGUGCUGCAGAGGAAAUACUGCUUUUAGCAAAAAUCUGUGCACCUGGGUUCUCUAACACUCGAACAUCGUAGGAACACAAGCACAGGCUUGACAGGCCAGCGGGCAUCAACAGAGAGAGAGAGAAACAGAGGCAAAGACGAUGCAUCAGAGAUUUACGACUGUGUGGAUCUGCCAAGUUUAUGACUACAUUUAGAUUUUGUCCUCUGACACUGUUGUCCUACACGCUAGUUGGUAUAUGCAAAGACAAAGAGGGCGAUGCUUUUAAAUCUGCUGCAGAAUGGAUCAUCCAGCCAGCCAGGUGGGGGAGGAGAGAAAGACAGACGAGGCUGCUGGGAGACUGACCAGCAGCCAGCAGGACUGGACUAUUGUCCUGAUGCCAUGGUGACUGAGACCAAUCAAUAUUACAUUAGUAUGAUCAUCUAUAUACUGCAGCUCUGGCAGGCAGAGCAGGGGACUGGACAGGGCUUUCAUGAGCACUGCUAAGCUGAGGAGAAAGAACUCUGCUGGGACUCUGCACAGACCUGCAAACAGCCUGGAGGACAGGGAAAACAGGCUCACUGCUCCUGCAACUGUAAGAUGAUGGAUAGCAACAGUGGGGAGAACAAAACCAAGCAUUCCUCAUGCUGUCACCACAAUGAAACAGGGACAUAACAGGAUUUGGUCACAAUGUGAGCGGAGCACUUCAGAGAGACGCCAGGCCAUCAUGCCACUUCUUCUGGAAGUCAAAGACUCCAUCCAUCACAUAUAAUGUCCCCUUAGCAUUUGACUGGGGCUAGAGCAGCUGUCUUUCCUGGGACUUCCCAGUCUAACUCACAUGUAUGUGUGAUGAAUUUAUUGUUCUGGCUUUUGUUGUGCCUUUGUUGUUAUUCCAUUGAGGAGAGGGGUUUGAGAGGGGUUGUUUUUAUUAAAAACGUAAGCACAUCUAGUUGUCUCCAGUUGAUUUAGAGGAAUAGUUCAACAUUUUGAAAAAUACAGCAUGUGCAUUUAUUUGCUGGCAGAGAGUAUGAGAAGAUCAAUGCCACUCUCACAUGUAUUUGUCAAAUGUGCAGAUUGCAGAAGCUUAAUUUGGCACAAAGACUGGAAACAGGGGAAAAGAGUGAGCUUGGUUCUGUCUGCAUGUUAUAUGCACCUGUGAAGCUCACUCAUUAACAUGCUGUUUCUCAUUUGCUUAGUCCAGAUUAAAACCAAAGUAUAGUCUUUACUGGUUCGUUAUUUCUUUAAAGUUUUCUUGAGAGAAUUAUGCAAUUUGGUUCUAA